rnacentral:rRNA from 1 species
GAUGAACGCUGGCGGCGUGCCUAAUACAUGCAAGUCGAGCGAACAGAUGCGGAGCUUGCUCCUCUGACGUUAGCGGCGGACGGGUGAGUAACACGUGGAUAACCUACCUAUCAGACUGGGAUAACUUCGGGAAACCGGAGCUAAUACCGGAUAAUAUAUUGAACCGCAUGGUUCAAUAGUGAAAGACGGUUUUGCUGUCACUUAUAGAUGGAUCCGCGCCGCAUUAGCUAGUUGGUAAGGUAACGGCUUACCAAGGCAACGAUGCGUAGCCGACCUGAGAGGGUGAUCGGCCACACUGGAACUGAGACACGGUCCAGACUCCUACGGGAGGCAGCAGUAGGGAAGCUUCCGCAAUGGGCGAAAGCCGGACGGAGCAACGCCGCGUGAGUGAUGAAGGUCUUCGGAUCGUAAAACUCUGUUAUUAGGGAAGAACAAAUGUGUAAGUAACUGUGCACGUCUUGACGUUACCUAAUCAGAAAGCCACGGCUAACUACGUG